rfam:Acidothermus cellulolyticus 11B, complete genome.
CGAGCCGGCCGGGCGGCCGCGUCGGGCCACGGUGCGCCGUGGACCCGCCGAGGAAGGUCCGGGCUCCACAGGGCAGGGUGGUGGGUAACACCCACCCGGGGCGACCCGCGGGAUAGUGCCACAGAAAACAGACCGCCGCGCAGCCGGCGCCUGCCGCUGCGCGGUAAGGGUGAAACGGCGGUGUAAGAGACCACCAGCGCCCGGGGUGACCCGGGCGGCUCGGCAAACCCCACCCGGAGCAAGGUCAAGAGGCGGCGGACGCCGAUGGGCGGCCGCCGCUGCGCAGGCGCUCGAGGACGGCCCGUCCGAUGCCUGCGGGUGGACCGCUGGAGGUUGCCGGCAACGGCAGCCCAAGAGAGAUGGCCGCCCGUCGCGGAUGACCGCGACGACAGAACCCGGCCUACAGGCCGACUCGCCCG